UACGUAGGGUGCAAGCGUUAUCCGGAAUUAUUGGGCGUAAAGAGCUCGUAGGCGGUUUGUCGCGUCUGCUGUGAAAUCUGGGGGGCUCAACCCCCCAGCCUGCAGUGGGUACGGGCAGACUAGAGUGCAGUAGGGGAGAUUGGAAUUCCUGGUGUAGCGGUGGAAUGCGCAGAUAUCAGGAGGAACACCGAUGGCGAAGGCAGAUCUCUGGGCCGUAACUGACGCUGAGGAGCGAAAGCAUGGGGAGCGAACAGG
rnacentral:rRNA from 1 species